rnacentral:rRNA from 1 species
GAUGAACGCUGGCGGCGUGCCUAACACAUGCAAGUCGAACGAUGAAACUUAAAUGAUUUCUUCGGAAUGAACUUAAGUGGAGUAUUGGCGGACGGUUGAUUAACUCGUGAGUAACCUGCCUUACACAAGGGGAUAGCCGUUUAAAACGAGGAAUUAUAUUGUAUGAAACUAUCCCUUCGUAUAAGACGAUAUUCCAGUUGUUAGCGGUGUAAGAUGGACUUGCGUCUGAUUUUCGAGUUGGUGCGAAAAAAGCCCACCAAGGCAAGGAGCAGUAGCCGGAUUGAGAGAGUGUACGGCAACAUUGGGACUGCGACAAGGCCCAGACUCCUACGGGAGGCAGCAGUGGGGAAUUAUGCACAAUGGGGGAAACACUGAGGCAGCGAGGCCGCGUGACUUAGAAGGUAUUCGGGUUGUAAAAAUCUUUUGUCUAGGAAGAACAUGACGGUACUAUACGAAUAAGCUACGGCUAAUUACGUG